rnacentral:tRNA from 1 species
AGCUAAUUAAGCUUUAGUUUAAGCAAUUACUUUGAAAGUAAUAGAUAGUGGUUAAAUUCCACUAUUAGCUU